rnacentral:tRNA from 1 species
GGAGAGGUAGCUCAGUUGGUAGAGUGCUUACCUAAGAAUCAGGAAGUGCUGGGUUCAAUUCCUAGUGUCUCAU